rnacentral:rRNA from 1 species
AUUACUCCUACGGGAGGCAGCAGUGGGGAAUAUUGGACAAUGGGCGAAAGCCUGAUCCAGCAAUGCCGCGUGAGUGAUGAAGGCCCUAGGGUUGUAAAGCUCUUUUACCCGGGAUGAUAAUGACAGUACCGGGAGAAUAAGCCCCGGCUAACUCCGUGCCAGCAGCCGCGGUAAUAAU